rnacentral:rRNA from 1 species
UACGGGGGGAGCAAGCGUUGUUCGGAUUUACUGGGCGUAAAGGGCGCGUAGGCGGCCCUGUCAGUCGGGUGUGAAAGCCCGGGGCUCAACCCCGGAACGGCACCCGAGACGGCAGGGCUGGAGACCGGGAGAGGAGGGUGGAAUAGCCAGUGUAGAGGUGAAAUUCGUAGAUAUUGGCUGGAACACCGGUGGCGAAAGCGGCUCUCUGGCCCGGUUCUGACGCUGAGGCGCGAAAGCGUGGGGAGCAAACAGG